CUCACUAGCCGUGAGAUCAUGACCUGAGCUGAAGUCGGACGCUUAACCGACUGAGCCACCCAGGCGCCCCAAAAAUUUUACAGUUUAAAUUCCUACUCACAGCUUAGUGUUUUGGCCUCCCAUCUCACCAUAAUUGGAAAAAGAGUUAGAAUAUGAAAUGAAAGCAAAAUGACUGAAACAAUCUAUAGAUAUAAUUGGAAAUUAUCUAUUUAGGGAUGAAGACGUUUCUACUCGGAAUUAAGACAUUUCUACUUGUUACUAUUUAUGUAUUCAAAAUUAAUUAAGGAUGCAAGAGUCUCUUCCCAGCUAGACUCUGAGCACCUUCGGAACAGCAACUAUCUCAGUCGGUUUGGUUAGCCCUCGCCUACUCAGCAGAUGAAACACAUAAAUUACUAAGUCUGUAUUUGUUUAAUUGUAGAAUAAAAUUGACUUAUAAAGUGUACUUUUCCUCUAAUUUAAAAUCCUUUUAUUCUUGCAUAUAAUUUAUCUCAUUAUAUAGCAUAGAUGUUAAUUACCAUGUUACAUAAUGUAUCAUUUUGGGGAAAAAAAAGUUAGGAAAGCUGUCUGGUCAAGAUUCGUGCGUUGAAAAUUUGCAAAGUUUCCUUGUACACAAUCCACCUACCAGUUUUUUUUUCCUUUAUCACUUGGUAGGAAUAGGAGGAUUUUUAUUGUUAAUUUUCAUUAAGGAAGAUGGUUAAUCUAAAUGGGAAAUAGGUAUUAUAAUAUAAACACAAUCUCCUCCAACCCAGAAAUCCUCUCCACAUAGUUGAGAAGGAAGAAGCUUUACUAUUGAAUAAGCAUUAAAACAGAAUGUGAUGUGUAUCUCAGGAGAUCAACUAACAGAUUGCACAGACAGAGCAUCCCCCACCCCCAAACCUUUUAUAUAACCAAGCAGGUACAACCCAUUACUUACAUGUUCUCAAAAUAAAAAAUAACUAGUUCUCAAAUAAGCGGUCUUGACAACACCAUUUGUCACAUACAGUUCAUCCCAACCUUACUUAGAAAUUGGGGUGACCAUCUGUGCUGUGUUUAUCCAGAGGAAAACCAAACUUUUCAUGUCUUUAUAACAUGAGACAGUUUUGCAACUGGAGCAAGCUGCACAGGGAAGUGACCCUCCCACAGAAAGUGGGAGAUAGUGGCGUUACCUUCCUUGAUGUUUACAUUUCAAACAGAUGGCUCUGAGUCCUUGAGAAAGAGUUUCCCAGAUUAUAAAGCUGACAAAAUGUUGAUCUAGUCUUCAAAGGGAUUUACAUACAUUUCAAAGGAGAUAGUACUUAAAGUUAUAAUUUUUCUAAGUAAAUGCUCAAAGAAAAAGGAGGACAGGGAAAUCUCUUCAUUUAUUUGCAAGAGAGAACAUUAAGCCUCCUGUAUUUCAUUUGUAUUUGUCCCUACAGUACCUACUAUCUGGCUACUUCAUGCAGUCCUUUAUGGGAGAUGAGUGGGGUGGCGAAGAGAGGGAGGGAGCACUGCUCUCAUCGCUCUCAUACCCUGCUUUGUUUGUCAUUUUCUCCUGUUUCUGAAUGUUAACCUCAGCCCUUGUUGGCCAAGCUGUGACUUGAAGUGACUACUGUCCUGCAAGUGGAAAAGACUCCUUUAAGUUUGUUCUUCCAGAUACUGGCAUGGGGAGAUGUCUGGGAACAGCUUUCUCAACUUCCUCUCCCUUGGUCUCAGGAGAGUCUAUAACAUAUUCCUGUUAAUUUAAACUUAAUAAAUGAAUCACAAAAAUAUAUAGAAUACUGGAUAAGUGGCCGAGUGACAGCAAGCAGGGGCUUUCAACCAAGUAUGGAUAGAGUUCCCAGAAGACUUCAUCAGCAGGAAAGAAGCUCUAAUAAUGUGGAAUAGAAAUACCAGAAGACUCCUAUCAGCACAGCUGAAGACUGACCCUGGAGAUUGAUAUGUCUUCAUGCACUGGAGGCAAUUAGAGCAAACGGAUGAGAAGGGCCUGUUGGUAUUCAGGAGCAACAGUCUCAAGAACCCUGGGGGGGGGCGGGGCACAGCACUUCUGUAGGACUGCUUGACAGUGGAUAGUGCCAUUGGCAGAGGGCAUACAGGCGAAAGAAUUUCCACCAUCACCACCAAAACCACACGCCCAUGUUUGGAUGCUGUAGACCUGAAGUAGCAGGAUAAUUGGAACAUGGAUGGGUGAGAUCCAUUGCACAGGCUUCUUGGUGCAGCUCUAAGCCAAGGGUCAACAGUGGAAAGUUGGAAGUCCAGGGCCUGAACUUAUCCUGUGUCUGAUAUAAAUGAGUCAUCUCACAUCAGCAAGUAAGCACCAUAUUAAUGGUUCAGUCUUAGAAGAUCCCAAGAAAGAAAUACUUGUUUUGUCCAGCAGGAGUGAUCUGAUCUGCUAGAACCAGAUCCGUGCCUAGAUCUGAAACCAUGCCUGGAUCUGGUACCAGAUCCGUGCCUGGUCUCUUGGUGGUACUGGUCUGAAACAUGAAGGCAAAUGCAAGAAGAAACAGUUAAAGAAUUUAAAUAUUCUUUAUCUCUGAUUUAUUCUUAGAGAAGGGCUCCUGAGGAGGAAAAGGAGAGUCAAGGGAUCACUGUUUCUUGUAACAAGCCUUGUACUAGUAUGUUAGUUUUUAAGUUCUAUACAUGUAUUACUUCAAAAAAUAAAAAUUAAAAAAUGAAUAUAUCAAAACAAAACAAAAUAAAGUCAAGUUAUAGUAUAUAGCCUUUUUUAUAA